rnacentral:lncRNA from 1 species
GACAGAUUGUAUUGAUUGGAGAUCUAAAUGCUCGAACUGGCCAAAGAGCUGACUUUAUUGUAAAUGAUUCUGAUCACAUCAAUAAUUUUGAUGGUUUUGAUUUACUCCCUGAAAAUUAUAUUACUGAUUCAGAAAUUAAUAGAAACAAUCAAGAUACUUCUGUAAAUACAGUUGGUACAAAGUUAUUAGACUUGUGUUUGUCUUCAAGGCUGCGUUUACUCAAUGGUCGAUUUUUAGGUGACUCAUUGGGAUAUUAUACAUAUAUGUCAAGCAGUGGAUUUAGUACUGUUGAUUAUGCUGUUGUUAGCGAGAGUCUCCUGUCCUCAGUCAAAUAUUUUAAAACAAACGAUUUUACUUACCUAUCAGAUCAUGUUCAAAUUACUUUAUAUAUGAAGUGCUCUAUAAAUAUAGAUAAAGAAAUUGGCCUUGAGGAAAAAGGGUGGCACUGGAUUAAAUCAUAUAAAUGGACAGAAAAUUCUAAACUUAAACUUAUUGAUGCUUUAUUGACUGAAAAUGUAAAGAAUGAGAUAAUAGAAUUUGAAAUGGUUAAUUACGAGGAAAAUCAGGUUGGUGUUGAUGAGGCUACAGAAAAAUUGACAAAAAUUUUAGAUAAUAUUUCAAGCCUUUCUUGUAAAGCAACUCCAAAAAAAAGGAGGAAGAAGAAAAGGAAAUUUAAACAAGUUUGGUCAGACAAUGUUAUAUAUGAAACCAAGCGUCAAAUAAAUAAAAUAGGAAACAAAAUAAGGAAUAAUCCAAAUAAUAAUAGUUUAAAGCAAAAGUUUUUUGAGUUAAAAAAAAACUUGAAGAAAAUGGUUAAACACAAAAAGUAUGAAUAUAAACAAAAACUUUAUAAUUGUUUAAGUGAAUAUAUCAAUCAAAAUCCAAAGGAAUAUUGGAAAAUUUUAAAAUCUCUUAAGAAUAAAACAGAAAAAGAUGAAAUACCAGAGGUAUUAAAAGAUGAAGAAGUUUUAAUAAAACAUUUUCAAGAUCAAGGUAAACCUUCAUCUAUAAAUAAUGCUUUUAUGAUAGACAUUGAAUCACAAUUAAAGCUAUUAGAAAAUAAUAUAGACUUCAAAGCUGAAACAGAUGCUCCAAUAUCUUGUUCAGAAGUAAAUAAGGUAAUCAGAGGACUAAAACUUCAAAAGUCUGCUGGACCUGAUAGAAUUAUAAAUGAAAUAAUUAAAACCUCAAAUCAAGUAAUAAUUAAGUCAAUUGUUAAAAUAUUUAAUUUAAUUCUAAAAACGGGUAUAUACCCAAAAUCAUGGAAGGAC